GACAUGCACAGCACAAUUAUUUAAACUGACACACAGAGAGCAAAACUUCUUCUCAAGUCUCCAAAAGUCUAAACACAUUUUCUGCUUUACACACAUUUUGCAUUUCAAAAUGGCACUUUUUAAAUGCACUGAACACAGUUCUCUGCAUAAGACACAACAAUCUGACAUAAAGUCACAUGUUUGCCAUUUCAAAACACUGCCAUUCAAAAUGACACUACAUGAGCUACUUGGCCAAUUACAUGUGCCACCUGGCCAAACACCUCAAUGGUUAAUUGUUAACACUUCAAUCAGGAGGUAAGCACUGUGAAAAGACCACAGGUGAGAACCUUUUUUUUACAACCACAAUGGAAGACAUUGCAGAGAGAGGAAGAGGAAGAGGGAGGUUGAGAAUAAGAGGGGGAGGAAGAGUGAGAGGUAGGGGUAGAGCAGGUAGAGGAGUUCAUGGCCAAAGAAGACAAACACUUUCAAAUGAAAUCAGAGCAACCUUAGUAGAUCAUGUCAUCAACCAUGGGCUGACAAUGCGUGAGGCUGGACAGCGAGUGCAGCCAAACUUGAGCCGUUUUACUGUCGCCUCUGUCAUCCGGACCUUUAGACUGGAGAACAGGACUGAGAGACGACACCAUGGUGGAGGAAGGGGCCAAAUGUUCACCGGGGUACAGGAAGCUGCCAUUGUAAACUUGGUUUUGGAAAAUAAUGAAAU